UGGAAUCGCUAGUAAUCGCGGAUCAGAAUGCCGCGGUGAAUACGUUCCCGGGUCUUGUACACACCGCCCGUCACACCAUGGGAGUCGGAAAUGCCCGAAGUCUGUGACCCAACCAUUAAGGAGGGAGCAGCCGAAGGCAGGUCGGAUGACUGGGGUGAAGUCGUAACAAGGUACC
rnacentral:rRNA from 1 species